rnacentral:rRNA from 1 species
UACGUAGGGAGCAAGCGUUGUCCGGAAUCAUUGGGCGUAAAGCGCGCGUAGGCGGCCUCGUAAGUCCGUUGUGAAAGUCAAAGGCUCAACCUUUGAAAGCCGAUGGAUACUGUGAGGCUAGAGUCCGGAAGAGGCGAGUGGAAUUCCUGGUGUAGCGGUGGAAUGCGCAGAUAUCAGGAGGAACACCAAUAGCGAAGGCAGCUCGCUGGGACG